rnacentral:lncRNA from 1 species
GACGUGCGACGGGUGGCUGAAGACCCUAGGUGCGGCGCACCUAGGGUUGCUACUAUUUUCUUUUUCUUUUCUGAAAAUGGGCUAGGGUAGUUGUUGGGCCUGUGGGUUUGUUUGGGUUUGUUAUGGGUUAGGUCUAGGUUAAUUUUUGGUGGGUUUGGGUAUUUGUUUUUGUAAUUGGGCCCCGGGUCAAAAAAUUGGGCCCUACAAUAAGUCAAAUGUUAAUUCAAAUAAAUAAUAUUUUGCAAUCUCCAUCUUUCAUUUUCCUUUGAGGUGAUGCGUUUUCUUUUCUUUUUUUUUCUUUUUUUUCUCUCAUUGUAUCUAGGACUAAACUGAAUAAAAAUAUAAAAGUUACAACUGAAUUUAUUAUCAUAC